AUGACAAUGGUCGUCCAACAGCGCCAGAGUGAGGGAACCACUCAUGGACCAAGUGUGACAAGUUCACUGUGAUGAGGCGUGCCUGUGGUCAAGAUCAGAAUCCAUAUCCAGGGGGUCCAGAUCGACAGCUACAAAGCAGUCCUGUCAUGGACCAAGUAUGGCAACGCAUGCUUUGAUCCAUCUCCCAGCCAAAUGAGGAACAACAAAACAUCAAGAAAAUCAACCUAAACAUGGAGAUGCAAUUCAGAAGAAGCACCUGUUUUUAUCUGGAUGCGAAAUUUUCUCUGGAAAUUUUCCAUCAGAAAGUGCAAUUCAACUCAUUUCAAGAAAUUUCAGAAGAACAAACCUCUUUCCCUUAAAGUUUCUUGCAAAGAAUCCAACAUUUUUCUCUUUUGCUCUUUAAGUUAAAACUUUUUAUUUAAAAAUUUAAUCAAUUUUCUAUGUAUCAGAGAAAUUAGGAAUUAAAAUUUAGUAUUAAACUGUU